UACGAAGGGGGCUAGCGUUGUUCGGAAUCACUGGGCGUAAAGCGCCACGUAGGCGGAUCUUUAAGUCAGAGGUGAAAUCCCAAGGCUCAACCUUGGAACUGCCUUUGAUACUGGGGAUCUUGAGUCCGGGAGAGGUGAGUGGAACUGCGAGUGUAGAGGUGAAAUUCGUAGAUAUUCGCAAGAACACCAGUGGCGAAGGCGGCUCACUGGCCCGGUACUGACGCUGAGGUGCGAAAGCGUGGGGAGCAAACAGGG
rnacentral:rRNA from 1 species